AGUGAACGCUGGCGGUAGGCCUAACACAUGCAAGUCGAACGGCAGCACAGUAAGAGCUUGCUCUUACGGGUGGCGAGUGGCGGACGGGUGAGGAAUACAUCGGAAUCUACUUUUUCGUGGGGGAUAACGUAGGGAAACUUACGCUAAUACCGCAUACGACCUCCGGGUGAAAGCAGGGGAUCUUCGGACCUUGCGCGAUUGAAUGAGCCGAUGUCGGAUUAGCUAGUUGGCGGGGUAAAGGCCCACCAAGGCGACGAUCCGUAGCUGGUCUGAGAGGAUGAUCAGCCACACUGGAACUGAGACACGGUCCAGACUCCUACGGGAGGCAGCAGUGGGGAAUAUUGGACGAUGGGCGCAAGCCUGAUCCAGCCAUACCGCGUGGGUGAAGAAGGCCUUCGGGUUGUAAAGCCCUUUUGUUGUGAAAGAACAGCAGCAGGUUAAUACCCCGCUGUUCUGACGGUACCCAAAGAAUAAGCACCGGCUAACUUCGUG
rnacentral:rRNA from 1 species